CAGCAGCCGCCGCGGGAAUACGAAGGGGGCUAGCGUUGUUCGGAAUUACUGGGCGUAAAGCGCACGUAGGCGGAUAUUUAAGUCAGGGGUGAAAUCCCGCAGCUCAACUGCGGAACUGCCUUUGAUACUGGGUAUCUUGAGUAUGGAAGAGGUUAGUGGAAUUGCGAGUGUAGAGGUGAAAUUCGUAGAUAUUCGCAGGAACACCAGUGGCGAAGGCGGCUAACUGGUCCAUAACUGACGCUGAGGUGCGAAAGCGUGGGGAGCAAACAGGAUUAGAUACCCCCGUAGUCCCUGUCUCUUAUAC
rnacentral:rRNA from 1 species